UUCGUGGUUAUUAAGGGCACUAUCGAGCUAGGCGGCCUUAGUACAGUGUGGAGCAUAGCCAACGAAGGAGAAAGAAUACAAUUCUUUGAUUGGAGUACGGACUUCACUGCUAGACAGACGACCUGGGGUUUGUGGAUUGGUGGCACAGGAUUUUUCCUCACAUUGUACGCAACAAAUCAAGCCACCGUGCAAAGAUACUUGACUGUCUCUACUCUGAGAAAGUCCCAGCUAUGUUGCUACAUGAUGGCUCCACUUGGAUUGCUAUCCAGUGGAUUUUCACAUU